rnacentral:rRNA from 1 species
CGUGGGUGACCUGCCUUCGAUGGGGAUAACAUCCCGAAAGGGGUGCUAAUACCGCAUGACAUCCUGCCUUUGAAGAGGUGGAGAUUAAAGCUGGGGAUCGUAAGACCUGGCGCUUGAAGAGGGGCUCGCGUCCGAUUAGCUAGUUGGUGGGGUAACGGCCUACCAAGGCUACGAUCGGUAGCCGGCCUGAGAGGGCGGACGGCCACACUGGGACUGAGACACGGCCCAG